UAUCUACUCCCUCCGUUCGGAAUUACUUGUCACAGAAAUGGAUGUAUCUAGAUGGAUUUUAGUUCUAGAUACAUCCAUUUCCGAGACAAGUAAUUCCGAACGGAGGGAGUAACAU
rnacentral:pre_miRNA from 1 species